CCUACGGGAGGCAGCAGUGGGGAAUUUUGGACAAUGGGCGAAAGCCUGAUCCAGCAAUGCCGCGUGAGUGAAGAAGGCCUUCGGGUUGUAAAGCUCUUUUGUCAGGGAAGAAACGGUGAGGGCUAAUAUCCCUUGCUAAUGACGGUACCUGAAGAAUAAGCACCGGCUAACUACGUGCCAGCAGCCGCGGUAAUACGUAGGGUGCAAGCGUUAAUCGGAAUUACUGGGCGUAAAGCGUGCGCAGGCGGUUUUGUAAGUCUGUCGUGAAAUCCCCGGGCUCAACCUGGGAAUUGCGAUGGAGACUGCAAGGCUAGAAUCUGGCAGAGGGGGGUAGAAUUCCACGUGUAGCAGUGAAAUGCGUAGAGAUGUGGAGGAACACCGAUGGCGAAGGCAGCCCCCUGGGUCAAGAUUGACGCUCAUGCACGAAAGCGUGGGGAGCAAACAGGAUUAGAUACCCUGGUAGUCCACGCCCUAAACGAUGUCUACUAGUUGUCGGGUUUUUAAUUAACUUGGUAACGCAGCUAACGCGUGAAGUAGACCGCCGUGGGGAGUACGGUCGCAAGNUUAAACUUNAAAGGAAUUGACGGNUUGNGNGNGCGAGGCGACGACGAGGGAGGAGG
rnacentral:rRNA from 1 species